GAGUCAAGGUGUCUUCGGACGCCGGCAUACGGCUCAGUAACACGUAGGUAACCUACCCUUAGGACUGGGAUAACUCCGGGAAACUGGGGCUAAUACCAGAUAGAUAAAAGAUACUGGAAUGUUCUUUUAUCCAAAGCUUUUGUGCCUAAGGAUGGGCCUGCGUCCGAUUAGGUUGUUGGUGGGGUAAUGGCCCACCAAGCCUGCGAUCGGUACGGGCAGUGGGAGCUGUAGCCCGGAGUUGGGGACUGAGACAAGGCCCCAGGCCCUACGGGGCGCAGCAGGCGCGAAACCUCUGCAAUGCGGGAAACCGUGACAGGGGGAUCCCAAGUGCUCAUGCAUUGCAUGGGCUGUUCUUUGGUCUAAGUAACCAGAGGAGUAAGGGCUGGGCAAGACCGGUGCCAGCCGCCGCGGUAAUACCGGCAGCUCGAGUGGUAGCCGCGAUUAUUGGGCCUAAAGCGUUCGUAGCCGGAUAAGUAAGUCUUUGGUUAAAUCCUGCGACUUAACCGUGGGAAAUCUAGAGAUACUGCUUGUCUUGAGACCGGGAGAGGUUGGAGGUACUCCUAGGGUAGGGGUGAAAUCCUGUAAUCCUAGGGGGACCACCUGUGGCGAAGGCGUCCAACUGGAACGGGUCUGACGGUGAGGGACGAAACCUAGGGGAGCGAGCCGGAUUAGAUACCCGGGUAGUCCUAGGCGUAAAUGAUGCGAGUUAAGUGUGGGGGCAUCUACGAGAUGGCCCUGUGCUGUAGGGUAGCCGUUAAACUCGCCGCCUGGAGAGUACGGUCGCAGAGGCGUGAAACUUAAGAGGAAUGGCGGG
rnacentral:rRNA from 1 species